rnacentral:rRNA from 1 species
UUUCCGGUUGAUCCCGCCAGAGGUUACUGCUAUCGGUGUUCGCCUAAGCCAUGCGAGUCAUAUGUUCUUCGUGAACAUGGCGUACUGCUCAGUAACACGUGGAUAACCUGCCCUUGGGUCCGGCAUAACCCCGGGAAACUGGGGAUAAUUCCGGAUAACGCAUAUAUGCUGGAAUGCUUUAUGCGUAAAAUGGAUUCGUCUGCCCAAGGAUGGGUCUGCGGCCUAUCAGGUAGUAGUGGGUGUAAUGUACCUACUAGCCGACGACGGGUACGGGUUGUGAGAGCAAGAGCCCGGAGAUGGAUUCUGAGACAUGAAUCCAGGCCCUACGGGGCGCAGCAGGCGCGAAUACUUUACAAUGCGGGAAACCGUGAUAAGGGGACACCGAGUGCCAGCAUCAUAUGCUGGCUGUCCGGGUGUGUAAAAUACACCUGUUAGCAAGGGCCGGGCAAGACCGGUGCCAGCCGCCGCGGUAACACCGGCGGCCCGAGUGGUGAUCGUGAUUAUUGGGUCUAAAGGGUCCGUAGCCGGUUUGGUCAGUCCUCCGGGAAAUCUGACGGCUCAACCGUUAGGCUUUCGGGGGAUACUGCCAGGCUUGGAACCGGGAGAGGUAAGAGGUACUACAGGGGUAGGAGUGAAAUCAUGUAAUCCCUGUGGGACCACCUGUGGCGAAGGCGUCUUACCAGAACGGGUUCGACGGUGAGGGACGAAAGCUGGGGGCACGAACCGGAUUAGAUACCCGGGUAGUCCCAGCCGUAAACGAUGCUCGCUAGGUGUCAGGCAUGGCGCGACCGUGUCUGGUGCCGCAGGGAAGCCGUGAAGCGAGCCACCUGGGAAGUACGGCCGCAAGGCUGAAACUUAAGGGAAUUGGCGGGGGAGCACAACAACGGGUGGAGCUGCGGUUUAAUUGGAUUCAACGCCGGGA